CAAGUACCCUCUGUACCAAUGGGACGACCAGGAUCAUUUUCUAACCCUACAUAAAACAAGCCUAGUAGAUAUAUACCGGUGGAGACAUCUAAUAUACCUGAUGGAGGUGUAAGAAGUCCACUUCGUUAUUUUUAUUGUAGACAGAUUGGUCAUUAUGGUAGUGAAUGUCCUAAUCCCAGAGCCAGUGACAAUUACGUUGUCAGGAUAGAGAGGUUUUGCCUC
rnacentral:lncRNA from 1 species